rnacentral:rRNA from 1 species
UACGGAGGGUGCAAGCGUUAAUCGGAAUUACUGGGCGUAAAGCGCACGUAGGCGGCGUGUUAAGUCAGAUGUGAAAGCCCUGGGCUCAACCUGGGAACUGCAUUUGAUACUGGCAUGCUCGAGUUUGAUAGAGGCAAGUGGAAUUCCAGGUGUAGCGGUGAAAUGCGUAGAUAUCUGGAGGAACAUCAGUGGCGAAGGCGACUUGCUGGAUCAAAACUGACGCUGAGGUGCGAAAGCGUGGGUAGCAAACAGG